AAGUCGUAACAAGGUUUCCGUAGGUGAACCUGCGGAAGGAUCAUUAGUGAAUAUUAGGGCGUCUACUUGUAGAGCCUGACCCUCCACUUCUAACACUGUGCAUUAUUCGGUCAUCUGGCAAAGCGUCUUCGGACGUGGAGCUGUUUGGCUAAUUUUACCAUUAAACAUUAGUACCAGUAUGUAACGAAAUAUCGAAACAAAAAAAAACUUUCAACAACGGAUCUCUUGGCUCUC
rnacentral:misc_RNA from 1 species